CUACGGGCGGCUGCAGUUUCGAAUAAUUCACAAUGGGCGCAAGCCUGAUGAUGCGACGUUACGUGAAGGAAGAAAGCUUUAAGUUGUAAACUUCUGUCGUUAAGGAACAAAAAAUUAAGUAGUACUUUUUAUAUCGAGUUAACUUAAAAAGGAAGCAGUGGCUAAUUUCGUGCCAGCAGCCGCGGUAAUACGGGAACUGCAAGCGUUGCUCGGUUUUAUUGGGCGUAAAGAGUACGUAGGCUGUUAUAUAUGUUAAUUGUUAAAUUUUAAAGUUAAUCUUUAAAUUUGCUGUUAAAACUAUAUAACUCGAAUUUCAAAGAGGUAAGUGGAAUUUCAAGUGUAGCGGUGAAAUGCGUAGAUAUUUGAAGGAACACCAAUGGCGAAAGCAACUUACUGGGUGAUAAUUGACGCUAAAGUACGAAAGUAUAGGGAGCAAAAGGGAUUAGAUACCCUGGUAGUC
rnacentral:rRNA from 1 species